rnacentral:rRNA from 1 species
AGGCCCUACGGGGCGCAGCAGGCGCGAAAACUUUACAAUGCGGGCAACCGUGAUAAGGGAACCUCGAGUGCCUGUAUAUGCAGGCUGUCCAGGUGUCUAAAACACACCUGAAGAAAGGGCCGGGCAAGACCGGUGCCAGCCGCCGCGGUAAUACCGGCGGCUCGAGUGGUGGCCGCUUUUAUUGGGCUUAAAGCGUUCGUAGCUGGGUCGUUAAGUCUCUUGGGAAAUCCGGCAGCUCAACUGUCGGGCGUCUAAGAGAUACUGGCGAUCUUGGAACCGGGAGAGGUGAGGGGUACUUCGGGGGUAGGAGUGAAAUCCUGUAAUCCUCGAGGGACCACCUGUGGCGAAGGCGCCUCACCAGAACGGCUUCGACAGUGAGGGACGAAAGCUGGGGGAGCAAACCGGAUUAGAUACCCGGGUAGUCCCAGCCGUAAACUAUGCGCGUUAGGUG